rnacentral:rRNA from 1 species
AUUGGUCAAUAGCCUAACGGCUGAACCAGCAACUUGGAGGAAUGUAUAGCAAUAGCUAAUUGCAUCAAUAAUUCUUUGUGAAAUUGAUGCAAUAUCGACUAUGUCGAAUAAAAUUCUAGGUAGAAUUAUGAUAAUGACAUUGUCUGCCUAUGUGUCUUGACCAAAUUACGUGCCAGCAGUCGCGGUAAUACGUAGAAGACUAGUGUUAUUCAUCUUUAAUAGGUUUAAAGGGUACCUAGACGGUAAAUCAAGCCUGUAAUAAGGGACUAAUAUACUAGAGUUACUUACGAGGGGGUAUUAAAGUACUGCUGGUGUAGAGAUGAAAUUCGAUCAUACCUCGUUUCGUGAGAAACACUAUGGCACAGGUAUAGGCGAAAGCAUCCCCUUAUGUGAUAACUGACGUUGAAGGACGAAGGCUUUGUGUAGCGAACAGGAUUAGAUACCCCAGUAGUCAAAGCAGAAAAUGAUGAAUGUCAUAGAUUAGACAUAUAAUAGUUUAUUCUAUAAAUGAAAGUGUAAGCAUUCCACCUCAAGAGUAAUUUGGCAACAUUGGAACUGAAAUCAUUAGACCGUUUCUGAAACCAGUAGUGAAGUAUGUUGUUUAAUUUGAUAAUCCGCAAAAAACCUUACCACAAUUUGAAUAUUUAUAUAAUAUUUCCUUUUUCGAUUUUUUUUCUUCAAGAAAAAAAAGAUGAAAAAGAAAAUAUAAAUAUAUUUACAAGCGUUGCACGGCUGUCUUCAGUUAAUGUCGUGAGAUUCUGGUUAGUUCCAUUAAUUAACGUAAACCCUUACUUUAUUUUUAUAUAGAGUUGUUCCCCGCUAGAUUGGAUAAGAUAACAGGGACUAAGACAAGUCAUCAUGGCCUAAA